rnacentral:rRNA from 1 species
AAGCUCGUAGUUGAAUUUCGGGGUUCUACCGUUGGUCGGGCAAUAGUCUGUACUGGCGUGUAGAAUUUCUACCUUCUGGGGAACUAUCAUGUUAUUUAUUUAGCGUGGUAGGAAACCAGGACCUUUACCUUGAAAAAAUUAGUGUGUUCAAAGCAGGCUUACGUCUGAAUACAUUAGCAUGGAAUAAUAAAAUAGGACGGUGGUCCUGUUUUGUUGGUUUCUGAAUCACCGUAAUGAUUAAUAGGGAUAGUUGGG